AGUGCCCUGGAACGGGCCGUCAUAGAGGGUGAGAAUCCCGUCUGGGAUGGGGUGCCCGCGCCCGUGUGAAGCUCCUUCGACGAGUCGAGUUGUUUGGGAAUGCAGCUCUAAAUGGGUGGUAAAUUUCAUCUAAAGCUAAAUACUGGCCGGAGACCGAUAGCGCACAAGUAGAGUGAUCGAAAGAUGAAAAGCACUUUGAAAAGAGAGUUAAACAGCACGUGAAAUUGUUGAAAGGGAAGCGCUUGCGACCAGACUCGCUCGCGGGGUUCAGCCGGCCUUCGGGCCGGUGUACUUCCCCGCGGNCGGNCCACCGUCGGUUUGGGCGGACGGUCAAAGGCCCUC
rnacentral:rRNA from 1 species